rnacentral:lncRNA from 1 species
AAGUUUUGAAGUAAUUCAAAGGAUGAGAAUCCCAGUACCUAUAAACACCAAAAUUUCAAUAAAAUUAAACCAAACGAACACUCCAAUACGAAACCAAAAUCCUCUUUAUUCUUAACAUACCAAAUAUCCGAACAACCGUAGCUAUACUAAAUUGGUGGAAUCACUUACCCUGAGAACAAUGACCCAUAGCAAUCACCCCGCCGGAGGAACACUUACUGUCUCGCAAAUUUCCCCUAAUUACUCAUUAACAACAAACCAAAAGAAAAGUACAAAAUCCUUUUACUUACACAAAUAUCUCAAAAACUCCCAACCUAUUCAUCAAUUUCCCUAGACCCAACCCAGAUACUUACCAAAUCAAUAGUAAAAUAAAUUUGAACGACAAAGAUCUCCAAACGAAACUGAUUAAACAGAAGGCAAAAAGGAGAAUCCUAAAAUUAAUCUUUAAUUUGUUCGCAAAUGAAGGAAAACAGAAACAGAGAGUGAAGGAACACAAAAAAAAAAGCCAAAAAAAAGUAGAAAAAUGUGGGAAAAAGGAAGUUGUUUUUUAGGGUUACUAAAACCAAAAAAAUAAAAAUAAAAAUAAACAACCUAAGAUAAUCCCAAAAACCCUAUCCUACAACUUGAUAACUAACCAGUAUUUGAUUUUCAAUCCAAUUCCACCCUAUGCACCUUUGACCGAAAAUUGGAAAAACUAAACAUUUUUUACUCACGCCAAGAUUUGAACCCAAGCCCUCAGACACAAAUUUGAGACCC